AAAAUGAACUAUUUUUGUGGUUGUGAUACCCGUCACCUAUGCCAGCAAGCCCUGCAACACUGCAUAUUUAUGGACAUCCAAAUGGAAUCACCUGGUUUUCUCAGUUGGUGUUAUGGGAAAACGUUAGUAGCAACCAGUGUCACAAUGUAAGAGAUGACAAUCCAUUCCUGGACUGACGGCCACCGUUCCAUCCGCACCAAGAUGAUAUAAUUAAAUAGCAUCAAGUAACCCAGUGCAGGGAAGAAGAUUCAGCAGACAGGCACUGACUUGUACUGUUGUGGUGUGGCUGCAUGUAGUGCACACUGGAUGAGAAAUGUUCCUGUCUCCAAGACUGAACAGCACCCCUGCACAAUUUUAUUGCUG